rnacentral:rRNA from 1 species
UACGGGAGGCAGCAGUGGGGAAUAUUGCACAAUGGGCGCAAGCCUGAUGCAGCCAUGCCGCGUGUAUGAAGAAGGCCUUCGGGUUGUAAAGUACUUUCAGUCGUGAGGAAGGUGUUAAGGUUAAUAACCUUAGCAAUUGACGUUAGCGACAGAAGAAGCACCGGCUAACUCCGUGCCAGCAGCCGCGGUAAUACGGAGGGUGCGAGCGUUAAUCGGAAUUACUGGGCGUAAAGGGCACGCAGGCGGUUAAUUAAGUUGGAUGUGAAAUCCCCGGGCUUAACCUGGGAAUGGCAUUCAAGACUGGUUAGCUAGAGUCUUGUAGAGGGGGUAGAAUUCCAUGUGUAGCGGUGAAAUGCGUAGAGAUGUGGAGGAAUACCGGUGGCGAAGGCGGGCCCCUGGGACAAAGACUGACGCUCAUGUGCGAAAGCGUGGGGAGCAAACAGGGAUUAGAUA